rnacentral:rRNA from 1 species
GCGCGAAAACUUUACAAUGCUGGCAACAGCGAUAAGGGAACCUCGAGUGCCAGGUUACAAAUCUGGCUGUCGAGAUGCCUAAAUAGCAUUUCAUAGCAAGGGCCGGGCAAGACCGGUGCCAGCCGCCGCGGUAACACCGGCGGCUCGAGUGGUAACCGUUAUUAUUGGGUCUAAAGGGUCUGUAGCCGGCCGGAUAAGUCUCUUGAGAAAUCUGGCAGCUUAACUGUCAGGCUUUCAGGAGAUACUGUCUGGCUCGAGGCCGGGAGAGGUGAGGGGUACUUCAGGGGUAGGGGUGAAAUCUUGUAAUCCUUGAAGGACCACCAGUGGCGAAGGCGUCUCACCAGAACGGACCUGACGGCAAGGGACGAAAGCUAGGGGCACGAACC